rnacentral:rRNA from 1 species
AGUGAACGCUGGCGGUAGGCCUAACACAUGCAAGUCGAACGGCAGCACAGUAAGAGCUUGCUCUUACGGGUGGCGAGUGGCGGACGGGUGAGGAAUACAUCGGAAUCUACCUUUUCGUGGGGGAUAACGUAGGGAAACUUACGCUAAUACCGCAUACGACCUACGGGUGAAAGCAGGGGAUCUUCGGACCUUGCGCGAUUGAAUGAGCCGAUGUCGGAUUAGAUAGUUGGCAAGGUAAAGGCCCACCAUGGCGACGAUGCGUAGCUGGUCUGAGAGGAUGAUAGGCCACAGUGGAACUGAGCAACGGGCCAGACUCCUACGGGAGGCAGCAGUAGGGAAUGUGGAGCAAUGGGCGAAGGCCUGACGGAGCAACGGCGCGUGAGUGAUGAAGGCCUUCGGAUCGUAAAACUCUGUUAUUAGGGAAGAACAAAUGUGUAAGUAACUAUGCACGUCUUGACGGUACCUAAUAAGAAAGCCACGGCUAACUACGUG